CAGACACCCUCUCUGUAACUGGAACAAGUAACUGGAACGGAAAACAUUAUCUGAAAGCAAAACAGCAAAAAAAGAAAGAUCACAGUAAGGGGGAUUGUUAAGAGACUGCAGCUCCAUCUGCUGGCAAUCCAAGGGUCAGCAAAGAGGGGAAGGAAGAGAGAGAGAGAGUCAAACAGAGAGAGAGGAAAAGAGAGUGCAGCGAGAGGUGCUUCUGGGAAAACCCCUGAUGCCUCAGGACGACCUGGCAUGAUGACUUCUUGCUGUCCCAGUCCACCUGGCCGUGCUGCUGCUCCAGUUUCAACUGUUCUGCCUGCGGCUAUGGAACCCUGACCUGUUCACCGGACGUGCUACCUGUCCCAGACCUGCUGUUUUCAACUCUCUAGAGACCGCAGGAGCGGUAGAGAUACUCUUAAUGAUCGGCUAUGAAAAGCCAACUGACAUUUACUCCUAAGGUGCUGACUUGCUGCACCCUCGACAACUACUGUGAUCAUUAUUAUUUGACCAUGCUGGUCAUUUAUGAACAUUUGAACAUCUUGGCCAUGUUCUGUUAUAAUCUCUACCUGGCACAGCCAGAAGAGGACUGGCCACCCCUCAUAGCCUGGUUCUUCUCUAGGUUUCUUCCUAGGUUUUGGCCUUUCUAGGGAGUUUUUCCUAGCCACCGUGCUUCUACACCUGCAUUGCUUGCUGUUUGGGGUUUUA